CCAGAGGAACAACCAAUUUGUCUGCAAGCCAAUAGCCCAGACUAAGGAGCUAGCCAGCCCAUGAUGGGUGGGCAGAGUGACCACGGCCUGUCUUCUGCUCCCUCUCUCCCCAGCCGCCACACCCAAGCAUAGCUGGCUGUGAGGGCUGUGCACUGGGAGGCUGGACACUCCUUAAGAGGGAUACCUCUCUUAUCACAGGUCAAUGUCCACUGGUGAUACUCAGACCUGCCCCAAACAGUGCAGGUGGGGAAACUGAGAGCCAAGUGGGAGCCAAGAAACUUCCUGAAGCUCAUCAAGGGGGCAAAGAGUCUGGAUUUGCCCCAAGCUCAAGACCCCCAGACCACACACCUCUGCCCCAGCGUGAGACUGACACAAGGAGUGCAUUUGGGCCCAGAUAGUGCCAUGACACCAAGCACUCUGCUUGACCUCCUUCCUCCUUGGGAUCAUCCCCCACCGGCUCCAAGCCCAGCUUUUCUCCCUGCUGAAAUCAGAAUGACCACGUCCACCAGUCUCAUCAGAACUAAAUGAAUUGAGAUUAAACUUGGCCAUAGUAACCAGACCUUGCAGCAAACAUAACUCCACCACUUAAAAAGGGCAUCGCCUUGGGCGAGUUUCUCAACUUCUCAUGCCUCAGUUUCCCCUCCCAUAACUGGGAUGCUAAUGGCUACACCAAGCUGCUAACAGAUUGAGUACAACCAAGAACAUUCACAGUGCCUGCAUGUGAGUUACUUGUUAUUAAGCCUCGGAGUGUGCUUGGUGCUGGUGCCUGAGUUGAAAAGCCCUUGUCUCCCACCCCCCACCCCCACCUCAAGGCUUCCAGGGACUCCAGGCUGCAGGGCCAGGGCCAUGAGAGACACUGCUUCAGGACCAGAGGAAGUUUGUUUCUAUUAACAUUUCAAAUAAUACAGAAGAAAAAGUGGAACAGAGGAUUCUCAAAUUUCUAUUGCUGAUUCAAUGAUGAACAUUUUUCCAUCUUUAUUUCUUCUUUUAUUUUUGUCAAACUAUUGCAAAGUAAAUUAAGGACACUCGGCACUGCC